CAGCAGCAGCCGCGGGAAUACGAGGGGGGCAAGCGUUGUUCGGAAUUAUUGGGCGUAAAGGGUGCGUAGGCCGUUUGGCAAGUUUGGUGUGAAAUCUUCGGGCUCAACUCGAAGUCUGCAUCGAAAACUGCCGGGCUUGAGUAUGGGAGAGGUGAGUGGAAUUUCCGGUGUAGCGGUGAAAUGCGUAGAUAUCGGAAGGAACACCUGUGGCGAAAGCGGCUCACUGGACCAUAACUGACGCUGAUGCACGAAAGCUAGGGGAGCAAACAGGAUUAGAUACCCCAGUAGUCCCUGUCUCUUAUAC
rnacentral:rRNA from 1 species